GCCGGGCAUGGUGGCACAUGCCUGUAAUCCCAGCAGCUUUGGAAGCUGAGGCAGGAGGACUUUGAGUUCAAAGCCAGCCUUAGCAAUGACAAGGUGUUCAGGAAAACAGUGAGAACCUGUCUCUA
rnacentral:sRNA from 1 species